rnacentral:rRNA from 1 species
UACGAAGGGGGCUAGCGUUGCUCGGAAUCACUGGGCGUAAAGCGCACGUAGGCGGAUCUUUAAGUCAGGGGUGAAAUCCCAAGGCUCAACCUUGGAACUGCCUUUGAUACUGGGGAUCUCGAGUCCGGAAGAGGUGAGUGGAACUGCGAGUGUAGAGGUGAAAUUCGUAGAUAUUCGCAAGAACACCGAUGGCGAAGGCAGCCAUCUGGACCGACACUGACGCUGAGGCGCGAAAGCGUGGGGAGCAAACAGG